rnacentral:rRNA from 1 species
UACGAAGGGGGGCUAGCGUUGUUCGGAUUUACUGGGCGUAAAGCGCACGUAGGCGGAUUUUUAAGUCAGGGGUGAAAUCCCGGGGCUCAACCCCGGAACUGCCUUUGAUACUGGAAGUCUUGAGUAUGGUAGAGGUGAGUGGAAUUCCGAGUGUAGAGGUGAAAUUCGUAGAUAUUCGGAGGAACACCAGUGGGCGAAGGCGGCUCACUGGGACCAUU